GAUAUUGGUCAAUAGCCUAACGGCUGAACCAGCAACUUGGGGGAAUGUAAGCAUAUGUAGAAAUACAUAUGUGUAUCGACUACGUCGUAUAAAGUUCUAGAUAGAUCACUGAUAAUGACAAUUUUCUAUCUAUAUGUCUUGACCAAAUCUCGUGCCAGCAGUCGCGGCAAUACGAGGAAGACUAGUGUUAUUCAUCUUUAUUAGGUUUAAAGGGUACCUAGACGGUAUAUCAAGCCCCAAAAGGGAACAGAUAUACUAGAGUUUUAUGUGAGAGGUAUAUAUUAGUACUAUUGGUGUAGAGAUGAAAUUCUUUGAUACUAAUGGAACGGAUAACAGCAAAAGCAAACCUUUAUGUAUAAACUGACGUUGAGGGACGAAGGCUUGGGUCGCGAAUAGGAUUAGAUACCCUAGUAGUCCAGGCAGAGAAUUAUGAAUGUUAUAGACUUGCGAAAGCUUGUGUAUAAAUGAAAGUGUAAGCAUUCCACCUCAAGAGUAAUGCGGCAACGCAGGAACUGAAAUCAUUAGACCGUUUCUGAAACCAGUAGUGAAGUAUGUUAUUUAAUUCGAUAACCCUCGAAAAACCUUACCACAAUUUGAAUAUUAUAGCGCCUUUAGCGUUAAAUAAUACAAGUGUUGCACGGCUGUCUUCAGUUAAUGUCGUGAGAUUCUGGUUAGAUCCAUUAAAUUAACGUAAACCCUUGCUUUAUUUGUUUUUAUAAAGUAGUUCACCGCUAGAUUGGAUGUGAUAACAGGGACUAAGACAAGUCAUCAUGACCUUAAUAUUGUGGGCUAUA
rnacentral:rRNA from 1 species